rnacentral:rRNA from 1 species
GUGGGGAAUUUUGGACAAUGGGCGCAAGCCUGAUCCAGCAAUGCCGCGUGCAGGAAGAAGGCCUUCGGGUUGUAAACUGCUUUUGUACGGAACGAAAAGGCUCUGGUUAAUACCUGGGGCUCAUGACGGUACCGUAAGAAUAAGCACCGGCUAACUACGUGCCAGCAGCCGCGGUAAUACGUAGGGUGCAAGCGUUAAUCGGAAUUACUGGGCGUAAAGCGUGCGCAGGCGGUUUUGUAAGACAGACGUGAAAUCCCCGGGCUCAACCUGGGAAUGGCGUUUGGAACUGCAAAGCUGGAGUGCGGCAGAGGGGGAUGGAAUUCCGCGUGUAGCAGUGAAAUGCGUAGAUAUGCGGAGGAACACCGAUGGCGAAGGCAAUCCCCUGGGCCUGCACUGACGCUCAUGCACGAAAGCGUGGGGAGCAAACAGGAUUAGAUACCCCGGUAGUCC